ACUUUUGUGUCUAGCGGCGAAUGGGUGAGUAACACGUACUUAACCUACCCUUUAGAUUGAGACAACAGUUGGAAACGACUGCUAAUACCAAAUACGCUAUUUAUUGGCAUCAAUAAAUAAUGAAAGAUGCGUUUGCAUCGCUAAAGAAUGGGAGUGCGUUACAUUAGGUAGUUGGUAGAGUAAAAGCCUACCAAGCCGAUGAUGUAUAGCGGGGUUGAGAAGCUGAUCCGCCACACUGGGACUGAGAUACGGCCCAGACUUCUACGGAAGGCAGCAGUAGGGAAUUUUCCACAAUGAGCGAAAGCUUGAUGGAGCAACACAGCGUGCAGGAUGAAGCCCUUUGGGGUGUAAACUGCUGUUAUAAGGGAAGAAAUGCCUAAAUAGGAAAUGAUUUAGGUUUGACGGUACCUUAUUAGAAAGCACCGGCAAACUAUGUGCCAGCAGCCGCGGUAAU
rnacentral:rRNA from 1 species